UACGGCCAAAUCAUUUUUAAAUACCGGUCUCAUUACGAUCUCCGAAGUUAAGCAAUGUUGUGCAUGGUCAAUACCUAGAGAGGUAACCGCUUGGGAAUACCAGAUGCUGUAUG